UAGUAGCUAACUUAAAAUUGUUCAUGAGAUUAAAAUCUAUAAUCUCACUUACCAACAUUACCUAUCUCAGUGCUUUUCUUUUUGUAAUAUUUAUUUAUUUAGAGACAGAGUCUAUUAGUCCGUCACCCCAGGGUGGACUGCAGUGGACAAUUAUGGUUCACGAUAGCCUCAAACUCCUGGCCUCAAUCAAUCCGUCCUCCCACCUCAGCCUCUCAAGUAGCUAGGAGUACAAGUGCCACCACCACACCCAGUUUUUUUUUUUUUUAAUAUUUAUAGAAUUGGUAGAGAGACAGCGUCUUGCUAUAUAGCCCAGGCUGGUCAUGAACUCCUGGCCUCAAGUUAUCCUUCCAACUCAGCCUCCCAAAAUGCUGGGAUUACACUCAGCCACUAUGCCUGGCCCUAUCUCAGUAUUUUUUUUUUAAUGUUCAUUUGGCUUCUGGAGUACUCUAGAUGAUAGGUAUUUAUAUAAUAUAAUCUGAUAAGAAAUUGAUUAGGAGAUUUUACAAAAACUGAUACUUAAGGGGAGGUUACAUUGCUGGGAAACAUGGUAUCAAAAUAAGACAGGUCAAAUUUGAGAAAUCUCUGAUUCUACAGGUUACCCUACAGGUAAGUGACUCAAUGUCUCAGUCCUAAAUUUCCAGGAGAGCAAUUCUGAUGUAAGCACCUGGAUUUAGAAGCUGUUUUCACCUAGACAAACAUGAGUACCUAGGCACCAUUCCAUUAUUAGAAAUUGAGCAUAGAUGCUAAUUUCUAGAAAAGAGAGCUGGGUUGUCCAGGUGGGCAAGAAGUUGCAGUUUUGAUCAGGCUGCUGCUGCUGCUAAUUUUUUUCCAGUUACAAAGUUCCAGGAUACACAGUUUGCCUCUUUCUCCCCUACCCCCGGCUGGCCCCCCCAUUAUAGGUCAAAUUUAUUUAUUUUUUAAAGUUGAUAGCAUUGACGUAUCCUGGAAUUGUGACCAUUUAAAUUCCCAGAUAAUACACCAUGUGAUCAUCUUUUUAUAGGGUUAUGUCAAGAACCUUUUGUAUGUACCACCUCUUCCCCACAGUGAUGAAGAAACAAAGAAUGCAUGUUAGUUG
rnacentral:lncRNA from 1 species